AACGAACGCUGGCGGCAGGCCUAACACAUGCAAGUCGAACGCUGUAGCAAUACAGAGUGGCAGACGGGUGAGUAACGCGUGGGAACCUUCCCAAUGGUACGGAAUAGCUCAGGGAAACUUGAGGUAAUACCGUAUAAGCCCCUAGGGGGAAAGAUUUAUCGCCAUUGGAUGGGCCCGCGUCGGAUUAGCUAGUUGGUGGGGUAAUGGCCUACCAAGGCGACGAUCCGUAGCUGGUUUGAGAGAAUGACCAGCCACACUGGGACUGAGACACGGCCCAGACUCCUACGGGAGGCAGCAGUGGGGAAUCUUGGACAAUGGGCGCAAGCCUGAUCCAGCCAUGCCGCGUGAGUGACGAAGGCCUUAGGGUUGUAAAGCUCUUUUGCCGGGGACGAUAAUGACGGUACCCGGAGAAUAAGUCCCGGCUAACUUCGUGCCAGCAGCCGCGGUAAGAC
rnacentral:rRNA from 1 species